GACCUGCCUGCCGAGGAAGACCAGGAAGAGACUCUUCAACCCAGUUUCAACCUGUUUUCGGAAGUAUGUCCACAAGUAGCCUACUUGUGCUUCAGAUCAACAUCGCAGUUGGAGUCUUUUCAGAAUCACAUACUCAUGUAUGCCAGUAAGCGCCACUCCUUCAGCCCACCGGUUUUGCUGGCAGCUCUUGACUACAACUUUCAUUGUGACAGGCCGACGCUCACAACAUCAGAGGGCCAACAAAUUUUCAGACGGACAGAAGACAUACGAUUACAUCCCAAAUCUUCAAGGGAGAGUUGUCGAGCAAAGAGUCAGCAGUGGGGUGGAAAUGCCCAGGACCAGGACGCUUCAACCUGAUGACCCCCGGAGACUUGGUGUUGUGCCCCAGUCCCUUCAUCAACAAUAUUCGGCUUUCCAAGCAGCUGCUGAUGACGAGAAAUGAUUGAUGUACCACAUGACCACCUCCAUCCUCAUGUGAAGUGGCAAAGAUGAUAACUUAGAUUUUUACCUUUACAUUGUUGUUGCGCUAUGGUUGUGAGAAUCUUUCUUUUCUUGGCUUCUUUAUGUAUGUAUGCAUGUAUAUUUUGAAUAUAAACACAGCACUGACAAAGGGUUAUAUUCCUUUAUUUAUUACUAAAACAUAAGCAAUUGCACUGAAGAAAUAUAAUGUAACAUGUACAAACUGUAAAAAAGUGUAAAUAUUGACCG